UCAGUAUUACUAUCAACAAAUUUUAGCGCUCAUUUGAUUACCAACAUCUUAAAGUACAAAACUAUAAUUACACGAUCCGUGAAAAUACGAGAUGAAAAAUAAAUAAAAAAUAUAAUUAUUGGACGCCAACAUCUUCCAGCCAUAACUAAAUCUUCCCUGAAUGAGAUUUUUGUACUCUCUUAGGGUUGACACUCACACAAGAUGUUUCUGCCUUCUAAAACGUUUGCAUAGGUUGUCAAUGCACUUAUAAAAGCUGUGAUGAAUUACUAUAGGACAAUCAGCAUCAGUAUCACAUUUAAUAUAUUCUGCCAUUAAAAAUGUUUUACCAUCAACCCCCUUUUCAAUAAGAAAUAGGUAAAGAAAUA
rnacentral:lncRNA from 1 species